UACGUAGGGAGCAAGCGUUGUCCGGAAUCAUUGGGCGUAAAGCGCGCGUAGGUGGCUUCGUAAGUCCGUUGUGAAAGUCAAAGGCUCAACCUUUGAAAGCCGAUGGAUACUGUGAAGCUAGAGUACGGAAGAGGCGAGUGGAAUUCCUGGUGUAGCGGUGGAAUGCGCAGAUAUCAGGAGGAACACCGGUGGCGAAGGCGGGUCUCUGGGCCGUAACUGACGCUGAGGAGCGAAAGCGUGGGGAGCGAACAGG
rnacentral:rRNA from 1 species